rnacentral:rRNA from 1 species
GGAAUAUUGGUCAAUGGGCGCAAGCCUGAACCAGCCAUGCCGCGUGCAGGAUGAAGCAUCUAUGGUGUGUAAACUGCUUUUGUACGAGAAGAAACACUCCUACGUGUAGGAGCUUGACGGUAUCGUAAGAAUAAGGACCGGCUAACUCCGUGCCAGCAGCCGCGGUAAUACGGAGGGUCCAAGCGUUAUCCGGAAUCAUUGGGUUUAAAGGGUCCGGAGGCGGUUUUGUAAGUCAGUGGUGAAAGCCCAUCGCUCAACGGUGGAACGGCCAUUGAUACUGCAAGACUUGAAUUAUUGGGAAGUAACUAGAAUAUGUAGUGUAGCGGUGAAAUGCUUAGAGAUUACAUGGAAUACCAAUUGCGAAGGCAGGUUACUACUAAUUGAUUGACGCUGAUGGACGAAAGCGUGGGGAGCGAA